GCACACUUUUGUGGCCACGUGGCUCAUGGUAGGUUUCUCUGUGUACAGCCUGGAAUGCUUUUUCUGCCAAGGACUAUUUGCAUAUUUGUAAUGUUAUUUGCAGGUUGUACAAACUUUAACUUAAACAAGCCUGCUACAGAUGUAUUGAGUUUCCACUUGUGCCUGCCACGGCAACAGUAGAUGGUUUUUGUGGCCUUUUGUAGCCCAGUGGUGUACAUGACCCAUGGUGGGAGAGCUGUCUGCCUUCAUGAGGGAGGGAAGAGUGCAUGUGCAGCACCUGUGGGGACAACUGAAGAGAAUGACAGCAAAUGUAACCACAGGGAGAGCACAGAGAACAGGAGGGGUGAGCUGGGUUAGGAUUCCCUUCUGUCUGGGCAAUGGAGCUCUAAGACAGUGCAGUAGGGCCAGGGACUCCCUCCCUCCAUCCACUGGACAAAGAGCAGAGGAAGCAGGUGGGAGCUCAGCUAUAACCCCAGCUGCCAGGCAGUGUGGCUUCCUACCUUGGGGUUGGGCCUGGAGUAGAAUCCGGGCUAGUCCUCUCACCUGCUAGGUCAGGGGAGUGAACCUUCAUUCUGCCCACAGCCAUCAGGAUGUCUAGCAGCCUUUGCUGACCAUACAGAAUUGUCAGCCUGAACACUGGCCUGUUGAGGAUGUAUUACAUUUUUAAUCCUAUUGUGGUUUGCCUUGGCAGGACCAGACAUUCCCAUCACUGGCCAGAAAACGUAUCCCCCUUGCAAAGAGUCAUCAGAGCCUUCUAUCUGACCUCAGGGGCUUUGGAAAUGAAAACUCUCUCAGGAGAUCUAGAUAACGGAAGCCAGCACUCGCGGGAGAGGAUGCUGCAGACACAACAGGAGCGAAUGCAGGGCAGCUCAGACAUUGUUUAGUCUGCUCAAGGCAAGAACUGGGAGGGAGUGUUCAAGGUCACAGCCCUUUGGGAUGGGAACUGAAGGCACAGUCACUGGGACGGAUCAGGAGCUGAUGGGGGACAGAAGUACCAGCUAGACUGCGGGUAGGCACAGAGGCCGUCCACUGCUCCAUCUUGUCCCAGGAAGGGAGGUGCCCAUCCAGUAUACCCAGUGCCUCUGCUCUCCUCCCUGGCUCUGAUGCCAGUGCAGAAAUGCAUGACCCCUCAAGCUCAGUGAGGCCUUCUGUGCAAAGUGGACAGCACAGCUGCCACAGAGGCAGCAGGCCUAGAUGGGGCUGUGAUUAUGCCAAUGUGGGCAACUAUAUCCUGGGGGCAGCCAGCACUGCGCCAGAGAGCCCUACAGUCAUUGCCCUUUGACCGCAAGCCUACAGCCAUGGCUGAUGGCCCUGCAGAGAUUGGCCAGACUGGGCAUCUUCUGCGGGCCCAGAGGCCAACACUGUCAGCAUAAUGUAGCCACAGUGACAGUAGCAGUCACCCACUGGCACGGGGUGAGGGAACGCAUCCUGAGCUGCUGCCCACUGAGCUGCUCUGCCCCGAGUACACAGGCCCUGCAGACCGGUACGCAUCUGAGGCCAAGCUGGAGCCAGCCUGCCAUGUCAUUGUGUUGCCACAGCUGCCCAUCUACAGUGCGCAGGCUGAGUAGGCAAAGCACUCUUCCCAUGAUGCUGCACACAUUCCUAACUGGCCAUCCCCACCACGCUGGGGCCUUCCCAGGCUGGGCGAGCACCCCUUACCAGUCUGUCCACUCUUACAGCGUCCAUGGUGGCCAGGCACAAGACGGCAUCGCUUGAGGUCUGGUUUUGCCACAGGGGAUGGGUUUGUACAUAAGAGGCUUUCUCAGAAACAGUUCCAACUUCAGGGUCACACACCAGGACAAGCUGCUUCUGUAUAUGCAGAAAUAUUCUGAAAUAAAAUAUUAAAGAAAAAGACUUGCAUCUCAGGCACUAUGGGUGCAGCCCAGCAUCCGUCUUGUUGAUUCCUGUGUGAUGCAGACUGCGUCUGAGAAAAUCUCACCACAAAUCACGGACCCCUCAUCCUUGUUCCAGGGAGACCCUGUGGAGGCAGCCAGGGUCACCUUUUGUCUAUGUCACACCCCACCACACACCAUACCCAACCUGGGCCAGACACAGCCAGGUUCUGCAGGUGCUGUGUUCUGGAGAGCUAGGGCUGGUUAACAGCCAGAGGUGGAAUGUGGCCAUCAGAUCACGUUGUAAAUUGUUCCUGGGCAGUCCCCACAGGACUUGGUGUCAGCUAGGACACCCUGUAUAGGUGUGAGAUCCAGGCAGACUAGGGUUGGGGGUAACCUUACUAGUACGAGCUUGCUGCUGGGGAACAUACUUGGGCCCCACACAGAGAUUGCGACUCCACACCUCCGCCCAGCCCAUUUAUCCAGGUUAGGUCCACAGCCUUCGGCAUUCUGCUGUCCCCAGCACAGGCCUGGAAAGGGUAAAGAAACUGGGCUAUGACUAGGACCUACACAGUGAAAAAGAUGUGUUCCCUAAAGUCAGGCUUAGCUG